ACUCCUACGGGAGGCAGCAGUGAGGAAUAUUGGUCAAUGGGCGAUGGCCUGAACCAGCCAAGUAGCGUGAAGGAUGACUGCCCUAUGGGUUGUAAACUUCUUUUAUAAAGGAAUAAAGUCGGGUAUGCAUACCCGUUUGCAUGUACUUUAUGAAUAAGGAUCGGCUAACUCCGUGCCAGCAGCCGCGGUAAUACA
rnacentral:rRNA from 1 species